CAGGUUUACCUGUGUGACUGCGUACCUUUUGUAUAAUGGGUCAGCGACUUAUAUUCUGUAGCAAGGUUAACCGUAUAGGGGAGCCGUAGGGAAACCGAGUCUUAACCGGGCGUUAAGUUGCAGGGUAUAGACCCGAAACCCGGUGAUCUAGCCAUGGGCAGGUUGAAGGUUGGGUAACACUAACUGGAGGACCGAACCGACUAAUGUUGAAAAAUUAGCGGAUGACCUGUGGCUGGGGGUGAAAGGCCAAUCAAACCGGGAGAUAGCUGGUUCUCCCCGAAAGCUAUUUAGGUAGCGCCUCGUGAAUUCAUCUCCGGGGGUAGAGCACUGUUUCGGCUAGGGGGCCAUCCCGGCUUACCAACCCGAUGCAAACUGCGAAUACCGGAGAAUGUUAUCACGGGAGACACACGGCGGGUGCUAACGUCCGUCGUGAAGAGGGAAACAACCCAGACCGCCAGCUAAGGUCCCAAAGUCAUGGUUAAGUGGGAAACGAUGUGGGAAGGCCCAGACAGCCAGGAUGUUGGCUUAGAAGCAGCCAUCAUUUAAAGAAAGCGUAAUAGCUCACUGGUCGAGUCGGCCUGCGCGGAAGAUGUAACGGGGCUAAACCAUGCACCGAAGCUGCGGCAGCGAACGUAUCACCCAAGACAACUUUACGGAGUUGACGAUUGACGGAGCGAAGCGACGUCAAAGCGUUCAUUAAAGUCGAGUUGGCUUAGGGAUACGUUCGUUGGGUAGGGGAGCGUUCUGUAAGCCUGUGAAGGUGUGUCGUGAGGCAUGCUGGAGGUAUCAGAAGUGCGAAUGCUGACAUAAGUAACGAUAAAGCGGGUGAAAAGCCCGCUCGCCGGAAGACCAAGGGUUCCUGUCCAACGUUAAUCGGGGCAGGGUGAGUCGACCCCUAAGGCGAGGCCGAAAGGCGUAGUCGAUGGGAAACGGGUUAAUAUUCCCGUACUUGGUGUUACUGCGAAGGGGGGACGGAGAAGGCUAUGUUGGCCGGGCGACGGUUGUCCCGGUUUAAGCGUGUAGGUGUGUGUUCCAGGUAAAUCCGGUUCACUUUAACACUGAGGCGUGACGACGAGGCACUACGGUGCUGAAGCAACAAAUGCCCUGCUUCCAGGAAAAGCCUCUAAGCAUCAGGUAACACGAAAUCGUACCCCAAACCGACACAGGUGGUCAGGUAGAGAAUACCAAGGCGCUUGAGAGAACUCGGGUGAAGGAACUAGGCAAAAUGGUGCCGUAACUUCGG
rnacentral:rRNA from 1 species